rnacentral:rRNA from 1 species
UACGGGGGGGGCAAGCGUUGUUCGGAAUUACUGGGCGUAAAGAGCUCGUAGGCGGUCUGUUGCGUCGGCUGUGAAAACCCGAGGCUCAACCUCGGGCCUGCAGCCGAUACGGGCAGACUAGAGUUCGGCAGGGGAGACUGGAAUUCCUGGUGUAGCGGUGAAAUGCGCAGAUAUCAGGAGGAACACCGGUGGCGAAGGCGGGUCUCUGGGCCGAUACUGACGCUGAGGAGCGAAAGCGUGGGGAGCGAACAGG